rnacentral:rRNA from 1 species
CAGUAGCCGCGGUAAUACGAAGGGGGCUAGCGUUGUUCGGAAUUACUGGGCGUAAAGGGCGCGUAGGCGGCCAUUCAAGUUAGAUGUGAAAGCCCUGGGCUUAACCUAGGAAUUGCAUUUGAUACUGUUUGGCUUGAGUUCUGGAGAGGUGAGUGGAAUUCCCAGUGUAGAGGUGAAAUUCGUAGAUAUUGGGAAGAACACCAGUGGCGAAGGCGGCUCACUGGACCGACACUGACGCUGAGGCGCGAAAGCGUGGGGAGCAAACAGGAUUAGAUACCCCUGUAGUCCCUGUCUCUUAUAC